AGAAUAUCCUUAAAAUCGGAAUGGGCAAGACAUCCUGAAAUUUAGCAUUGUCUUACAUCCUAUAGAAGAAAUACCUUAGUCUGUCACAGUCAGCAUAUUGACUUUAAGUAUUCAAUAUUCCUUCAGUCAGCAAUAAUCAUAUUAUAAACCUUAUAAAAGCAUAAAAUACAUAUAAACAAGUUAACUAUUUAAUAUUCUUACAUUCCCCUCUUUGAGCAAUAAAACAAUUGCUCAUCUUAUCGAUAAAAUCCUACCAGGACAGAGAAACUUCCACAUGGUAUUUUCAGGGGUGCUAGUCACUCCCUGCGGGACUUUCAUUAAUUUCUUCACCUCGAUUCCCAUGUGGUAAUUCCUAAGGCCCAGUUUAAAGAUGGGUUGAUACUCUACAGUGGCAGAGAGGAGAAUUUCUAAUUGUUUCUGUUCUGCAUUAUGGAUUCAUUUCUGUACUCACUUCCUCAAUGUACAAGUAAGGUGACAGUUAUAUAAAACCAUACACAAUAAAAUCAGGACUAUAAUAACAAAAGGAUAGAAGAAUGAUUUCAUUAUCUGGGAUCCAGUAGGGGACCAACCAGUGAAGCAUCGUACCAAUGAUGGGCUAAAUCAUUCUGAAUUUGUGAACUCACCUUAAGGAGUUCUCCUUUUAGGAUAUGUGUGGCUAUCUGUGUAUGUUAUCUUUGGGAAAAAUAUAGUCCCCUGUGUAUGUGGGUGCCCACCAGGUUAAAUUCUUGGCAAAAAGAUCAUAAACUGGUACUGGUAAUGUGUUAAAUUGACAAGCUAAUUUAACAUCCUUUGAUGAUGUAUGAUAUAAUGUAAAAUAGCAUGAGCAUGAAAAAUGUGAAACAUUACCAGUUAACCAUCCAUUGCAUUUAGUGGAUUGGGGUUUUAGAAGUAACCAUUCAUUAUCUGUGAGGUUACACAUUCCUCUAAUCUUCUCUAGUUUAGGAAUCAUUAGUGUGUUUUCUAAUGCCAAUCCUUGUUGUUGUAUCCAUAAAUACCUGAUGGCACAGGUACUCCAGUUACUUAGACCUGUAGUGAAUUUCAUAGUUGCAACAGUUAAAUUAUCUAAAUAAUUAUACAUUGAUUUAUCUAAAUCCAAUCCUAUAACCUGUGAUUUAACAACAAUUGGAGCCCAAUUUGCAGUAGCAUGAAAACCAGUCCCUAUAUGCAUGCUGGCUGUAUUUAACUUAUUCUUGAGGGUCUCCAUAUCUAUAACUAUUUAGUAUACCCAUAGUGGUUCCAGCACCUCCUAACAGUGUGUCAUACCAUUCCCUUUUCUGCCUUUGUUUGUUGUAUUACAUAAUGUUACAACAAGAGUAGUGAUUUUUAAUGACACAUGUACAGCUUGUAAGAAGGCAGUUGUAUUAACACAUGUGGACGGAAUAGGUGUGUGUGUGUCGUGGUUGACUUUUGG